CAAGCUUGCUGAGGUUACAAGAUGACCACAGUGAUUUUCAUCUCCUGGUAUUCUUACCCUUUUGUAUCCCUUCCUGAAGGCCUGAUAAUAUAUGACUUCUGAGGCUAGGUCAUAAAAGAUAUUGUGGCUCCCCCUUGCUCUCUUGGAUUACUUCCUCUGGGGGACCAGGAACCAUAUUGUCAGGACACCUGAGCAGCCCUAUGGAGAGAUCUACAUGGUGAAUAACUGAGGCCACAAGGUCAGGAAAUCGAGACCAUCUGGGCUAACACGGUGAAACCCCGUCUCUACUAAAAAUACAAAAAAUUAGCCAGGCAUGGUGGCGGGCACCUGUAGUCCCAGCUAUUCGGGAGGCUGAGGCAGGAGAAUGGCUGAAUCCGGGAGGCAGAGCUUGCAGUGAGCCAAGAUCGCGCCACUGCACUCCAGCCUGGGUGACAGAGCCACCCGCUUCAGCCUCUCAAAGUCCUGGGAUUACAGGCAUGAGCCACCAGGCUUGGCCUAUCAUUAAUUUUUUUUAGAGAUGGGGCUUUUCUGUGUUGCCCAGGCUGGUCCCUAACUCCUGGUUGAAUUCCAACCCAUAAGAAGGAGUAUUCCAGGUCUAGUUAACCGGAUGAGUUAAGGCUGCAAAGUUCAAGUUGUGUUAUUUUUUCCAACUAACCCACAGAUAUUUACCAUAUAACUGUAACAGUACAAUUAUGUAUGUGUGUAUACAUAUAUAUGUGCAUGUAUGUGCAGGUGAUCUGCCUGCCUCAGCUUCCCAAAGUGCUGGGAUUACAGGCAUGAGCCACCGUGACUGGCCAACAAAUAUCUAUUGAGCACCUCUGAUAUAAGCCAUGUCUAGGCACUGAGGAAACAACAAUGAAGAAAGCAAAAUCUUCACAAUCAUGGAGCUAAUGUUCUAAUAGUAAGAAAUGACAAGACAUGACAUUUGAAUAGAGACUUGAAGUCAGUAAAGGAACAAGCCAAACAAAUAUUUGGAGAAAGGACAUUGCAUGCAACUGGAACAGCAAGUGCAAAAGCCCUGAGGGAGAUGUGUGCCUGGGAGUGUAAGAGGCAACGUGGAGACCAGACGGACUGGAGCAGAGUGAGCCAGAGGAGAGCAUUAGGAGUCUGAGGUGUGAGAACUUGGGGGA
rnacentral:lncRNA from 1 species